rnacentral:lncRNA from 1 species
CACACCACACGCCACACACACACACAAUUUUUAUUUUUAUUUUUUUUGAGACAGGGUCUCACUCUGUUGCCCAGGCUGGAUGGAGUGCAGUGGUGUGAUCUCGGCUCACUGCAACCUCCACCUCCUGGUUCAAGCGAUUCUCCUGCCUUAGCCCCACAAGUAGCUAGGAUUACAGGUGUGCACCACCACAACUGGCUAAUUUUUUUAUUUUUAGUAGAGACGGGGUUUUGCCAUGUUGGCCAGGCUGGUCUCAAACUGCUAGCCUCAGGUGAUCCUCCCACUUUGGCUCCCAGAGUGCUGGGAUUACAGGAACAAGCAACAGUGCUCUCUUUUAAGGGUAACAAUAUGUUUUGGAAUGAAAUAGUAGUGAUUCACAAUUCUGUGAAUAUAUUAAAAAUCACUAAAUUCUGCACUUUAAAAGGGUGAACUUUGUACUUACUAAACUAAAUGGAAAUAUCUGGGAAAAUUCAGAAUACGCUUAAAACAAACCGUUUUUACUUCUAACUUCUUACGAAAUGUAAGAAUGAUUAAAUCUGAAAAAUAAGUAAGGUCAUAGAAUAUUUCUUCUGGAAAUAUCUAUAUCCAUUCAGAUAUCGAGCCUAUAUGAAGGUGCUAAAGUUCUUUUGACUACUGCUAAAUUUUUAGAAACUAGCCAAAGAAUUUAGAUAUAGCUUCAGCUCUUGUGGCCUCUGGCAUUUUAUUUGUUGAAUAAUUCAAUUUCCACAUUGAAGCAAGUGAUUAGUUUUACAUUCCUACACUAAUUUCUUAGCUUAAAAAUGGCUUUAGUAGCUUAGACUGACUUCUUUGCUGAAAUGUCUUACUAGAACUUGGUGGAAAGCGGAACUACUAUACUAAUGAGUUAGCUAAGGGGACAAUAUUGUUAGAAAUUGAAUAUGGUAAUAGAAAUGAAACACGACAGCUGUGCAGGUUAAGUGAUUUUUGA